rnacentral:rRNA from 1 species
AAUCAACGCUGGCGGCGCGCUUAACACAUGCAAGUCGAACGAGAAAGGGAGCAAUCCCAAGUAAAGUGGCGCACUGGUGAGUAACACGUGGAUAUCUACCUCCUGGUGGGGAAUAACCUGGGGAAACCUGGGCUAAUACCGCAUAAGCUUUAGCGAGGAAAGCCGAAAGGCGCCGGGAGAGGAGUCCGCGGUCGAUUAGCUAGUUGGCAGGGUAAAGGCCUACCAAGGCAAAGAUCGANAGCCGGCCUGAGAGGGCACACGGCCACACUGGCACUGAAACACGGGCCAGACUCCUACGGGAGGCAGCAGUGGGGAAUCUUGCACAAUGGGGGAAACCCUGAUGCAGCGACGCCGCGUGAGCGAUGAAGCCCUUGGGUGUAAAGCUCUUUCGGCAGGAACGAUAAUGACGGUACCUGCAGAAGAAGCUGCGGCUAACUACGU